UUGCAUCGUUUCAUUCUUCAUUUCCGCCUCUCCCUCUCUGCCGCACCCCGCAGCUACUUGUUUUGCUAGCAACCCACAGGCCACAGCCAGCUAGCAACCCACAACAGCACCCACAACCCCGCAGCCCCACAGCCCCGCAACACCGCAACCCAGCAACCCCGCAGCCCCACAGCCCCGCAACACCGCAACCCAGCAACCCCGCAGCCAGCAACCUCGCAACCCCGCAGCCUCGCAACCACAGCCCCGCAACUCGCAGCCGCACCCACAGCCCCGCCGUACUCCACAGCAAGCCGCAGUCCACAGCCGCAACCCACAGCAACGUCUGCCUCCACCGCCGCCCACAGACUCAACCCACAGGCCACAGCCUCUGUUUCUGCCAUUAACAACCGGUCCACCGCCGGGGCCAAAACCAGUCCAAUUUGACUGGUUUCUCUAAUCCUUCGUGAUUUCUG
rnacentral:lncRNA from 1 species